rnacentral:rRNA from 1 species
GUGGGGAAUAUUGGACAAUGGGGGGAACCCUGAUCCAGCCAUGCCGCGUGUGUGAAGAAGGCCUUUUGGUUGUAAAGCACUUUAAGCGAGGAGGAGGCUACCGAGAUUAAUACUCUUGGAUAGUGGACGUUACUCGCAGAAUAAGCACCGGCUAACUCUGUGCCAGCAGCCGCGGUAAUACAGAGGGUGCAAGCUUUAAUCGGAUUUACUGGGCGUAAAGCGCGCGUAGGUGGCCAAUUAAGUCAAAUGUGAAAUCCCCGAGCUUAACUUGGGAAUUGCAUUCGAUACUGGUUGGCUAGAGUAUGGGAGAGGAUGGUAGAAUUCCAGGUGUAGCGGUGAAAUGCGUAGAGAUCUGGAGGAAUACCGAUGGCGAAGGCAGCCAUCUGGCCUAAUACUGACACUGAGGUGCGAAAGCAUGGGGAGCAAACAGGAUUAGAAACCCGUGUAGUCC